rnacentral:rRNA from 1 species
UACGGAGGGUGCAAGCGUUAUCCGGAUUCACUGGGUUAAAGGGUGCGUAGGCGGGCAGGUAAGUCCGUGGUGAAAUCUCUGAGCUUAACUCAGAAACUGCCAUGGAUACUAUUUGUCUUGAAUGUUGUGGAGGUAAGCGGAAUAUGUCAUGUAGCGGUGAAAUGCUUAGAUAUGACAUAGAACACCCAUUGCGAAGGCAGCUUACUACACAAAUAUUGACGCUGAGGCACGAAAGCGUGGGGAUCAAACAGG